AUUGAACGCUGGCGGCAGGCUUAACACAUGCAAGUCGAGCGGAGAUGAGGUGCUUGCACCUUAUCUUAGCGGCGGACGGGUGAGUAAUGCUUAGGAAUCUGCCUAUUAGUGGGGGACAACAUUCCGAAAGGAAUGCUAAUACCGCAUACGUCCUACGGGAGAAAGCAGGGGAUCUUCGGACCUUGCGCUAAUAGAUGAGCCUAAGUCGGAUUAGCUAGUUGGUGGGGUAAAGGCCUACCAAGGCGACGAUCUGUAGCGGGUCUGAGAGGAUGAUCCGCCACACUGGGACUGAGACACGGCCCAGACUCCUACGGGAGGCAGCAGUGGGGAAUAUUGGACAAUGGGGGGAACCCUGAUCCAGCCAUGCCGCGUGUGUGAAGAAGGCCUUUUGGUUGUAAAGCACUUUAAGCGAGGAGGAGGCUACUUAGAUUAAUACUCUGGGAUAGUGGACGUUACUCGCAGAAUAAGCACCGGCUAACUCUGUGCCAGCCGCCGCCGUAA
rnacentral:rRNA from 1 species